UUGGACUUCAGCAGAGAUCAGAAUUAGUGUGAGACACAAGAAGAACUAACUUCAUGAGAGGAUCUACCCGUAGAUCUGGAUGUGGACCACCUGCCCUCUGAUCUCACCUGCCACCUAACAAGCUCCGCCAGCAGAACCCAGAGGAGAACUCCCCUCCUGGGAGGCAGAGCUGUCCCAGCGGCUGCCUCCAGUGUGACUUCCUGUUCAACUUCUUAGAUCCCAACUUCCUGGCCUUUGUCCAAUUUUUGCUCCCACUGACCUUCCUGGCAGCAGAGUCUCUCUGCAGAAGGAAAACCUGCAAUGGAUUCUCUUUGCUUCUGGCCUGGAAGUUGCUCCACUGAACUCCAGCUGCCAUGUACUGCCCUGCCUCCGGGAGCAACUGACAGUAAUAGCCAUGCCACUGUUAAUUACUCAUAAAGCAAAUGAUGAGGUCUUGCUAUGUUGCCCUGACUUGCCCUCCAGCCUCAAGCUGUAGCUGGGAUUACAGAGCUGGAAGACACAUCUCUGAAUCCUUGCCUGAAUGUGUGUAUGCUUUUAAAAAAACAAACAAACAAAUAAAAACUCACCUUUAUCCAGAGCCUCAGGACAGAAAAAUAAAACCUACCCAAAGGGAAGCACAAAUGAAUAUUUUAAAUUGUGGUGGAAGCAGUACGGGCACACACUGAUACUGAAAUCUGAGAGAUACAAUGUUGAACAAGCUCCAAGUUCUUUUCAAGGCUCACAGUUUGACUAAGCAAGAGUUCAUCAUGUUGUAAAAGAUUCCCUAAAAGAAGUCUUUAUAGAAAUGUAACAGGAAUUCCAAGGUGGUACCUAGCUUAGCUAGGUUGAGUAGAAAAAUGACAGUAGAAAAUACUGGUAAGAGAUGGUGAUACUGGCUGAUGAAAUGCAAAUAUUAAUUGUAAUUGCAAAACAGAACAUGUGUUGGUGUCUCCAGAAAAUUGUAAAUCUCUCAAGAAUAUCUUGAGCACACAACUUUCAUCGGACCUUAUAGCUAACGAGAUUUACAGAGGCUAGAUUGUGGGAAAACUUAGGUGCUAUAAUUUUAACUUUAACCCAGAGGUGAUUGGAGCCACAUAGAUGUCUUCUCUCCAUGUGGGGUUUGAAGAAUGUUGGUGAUAAUUAGAUUUGCACAUCAGAUGGAUUACUUGGACAGCUGGAUAGAAGUUCUGAAGAGGAUUGAUAUCGGGAUCAGGAGGAGUAGGAGACUCUUACCAAGAACCAGAAGGAAAACAACAAGGCCUUACCAAACAUGAAGAGGAAGAAGUAGAGCUCUAAAUUGAAACCAGUAAGGCUUGAUGAUGGGUUGGAUUGAGUGUAGAUAAUAAAAGGUAAGAGGAAUUAAAAGAUGACAUUCUUAUUUCUAAAAAUAGCUGCAAAUUUUACUAGGGUGAAAUUAUAGGGUUUUGAAAGCUUUAUUAAUGUGUUGAUUCCAAAUAAUCUCAAAGUUACAGGCAAGUCGUAGUUUUAAAGAAAAUUUUCCUAAGUUACCAACUUAAUGCUCCAUCAUCCGCUAACGUUUUUGUAUACAUUGAAUACAAGUAAGGAAGCUCUCCAACAAAAUCACAAUACAACCAUCACGGGCAGGAAAUUAAAAUUGAUUCAUUACCACUAUCUAAUCCUGGGUUCCACCAAUUGUCCUUUGCAUUCUCCAUGACAACAGGACCCUGUUCAAGGUCGUGUUUUUGUUCAGUUGUCAUAUCUCUUUUGUGGUCUUCUCUCUGGCUCAGUUCAUCAGUCUUUCCUUGCCUUUCAUUCUACUGACUGAUUCAAAGAUUAUCAGUUGGUCCUGGAGUUGUAGCUCAGUAGUUAGAGAACCUGCCUACCACACAUGAGACUCUGGGCUCAAUUCCUAGCGUUGAAAUCAAAAUGAAGGUUACUAGCUAAUUAUUUCAUAGAUGUUCUAUUUUAACUGUUGGAGUUAAUAAAUAUUUUGCAGGGAUGGGCUCUAAAUUGUACAAACCUCACUCUUCACAAACUUUAUUAUGUUAUAUCAUAGAAGCUCAUACUUUCCCAUUUUAUUCAGUGCAUUAUAGUCUGUCUUUACUAUUAUUUCAAUGCAUAAAAUAGCCUAUAUUUGGCCAGCAAGAACCCUUUCAGUUGGUUUUAUCAAUACCUUUUUCCAUCCGUCUUUGAACAUCUCCCUGCUUUUGAGCCCAGCAAGUUUUUCCACUCCGGGGCGGUGUGGAAGGCUUUCACUGCCCGGCUCCAGUCAAUCCCCUCCUCGAAGUUCCUGACUCCCAGGGGAGAGGAGAGGUAGGUAGGAUGCAGUAGUGAAGAUCCAGGGCACUAGGCAUACUCAGGAGGAGUCAGUGAUGACUUUCUUACUUUGUAAUAUUUCUCUGAAAGAUUUUUUAGCGCAUUCUUAAAAUCCACACCUCUAAAUCAUUCUUUUUUUUUUUUUUUUUUUUGUCUUUUUCUUUUUUUAUCGAUACCGGGGAUCGAACUCACGACCGCCUGUUUGCAAGGCAGGUGCUUAUGCCGCUGAGCUAAAUCCCCAGCCCCCCCCCCAAAUCAUUCUAAUAUUUAGUUUCUUCUAUCCUUCUAGUCUGCAGUGCAUCAAAUUACUGAACUGUUGGGACUGACUCCUUUUGAAUCAGUGUUUUGCAAUAUAUCUUAGCCCUUGGAGGGAUUCAGGGUUUGGCUGGGGAAGGAGCUGUAUGCUUUUGUGAGUUGGAAUGAUGCGGUACACUCAGGAAACUGAUUUAAGUCCCUUGCACAUCAGAUUUAUGGAGGGUCCUCCCCAAUAAGGGGCUUCUGAUGUAGUUGGGAGCACUGAUGAAUAUAAUGUUGAAAAGAAAACAAUAAAUAGAAAUGAAGACCACAGGGAAAAUUAAAGAUUGGUAAGAAAAACUAGAGUUGGAUUUUUUAAAAAAAUUCAAUAGAGAAUUCAAAUGCAAUACAAAAUGCAGCUUCAGAAAUGAAUGCCAACAAUGAAAGUGUGCAACAAACUAGAGAGAGUGUGCAGAAGUUUUGGAAAUACCCAGGUCUAGGAUGGAAACUCUACUGCUUGCUAACUAUGUAAGAGAUGAGAACUUAUUUUGGCUACAGUUUCUGUGUCUGCAGGUUAUGGGUGUUCUGGCAUAUGUUUAACAACUGACUCAUCAUAAGUAAAUAAGGAAGAAGGGAAAAAAAGGUCUCAUUAAUAUCCAUAGAUUAAAUGAUCCCAUUAUGGCUAAUUACAGUAUAAGCCAAUAGUGUAAAGUCACUGAGCACAGAGCAGAGAAGAAAUGCACGGUAGUGUGCUAUAAUGGGUAUUUCCACCACAGAGCUCUAGUAGGUGUAAAUAACCUCAGAGCACAUGUGAUAGUAACAUAUAGAAAAAUCAUUAGCAAGCAGCAGCCUUUUGGAGUAUUUAUUACCUAUGUUUCUAAAUACAAUUUAAAUGGUGACUCCUACCCAUAAUCCCAGCCACUCAGGAAGCUAAAGCAGGAGGGUUGCAAGUUCAGCCAGUAUGGGCCACUUACUGAGAUCUUGUCUCAAAAUCAAAAAAUAAAAAAGGGCUAAGGAAUGUAUCAUUGAGCAUCCCUGAGUUCCUGAUUCCUCAAUAUCGUAAUCAAUACAUUAAUUAGAAAUUUAAAUUUUAAUAUAUAUGCAUAGGUAGGUAUUUGUAGCACUGGGGAUUACACUCAGGGCUGUGGGCAUUCUGAGCAAGGGCAGCAACCCUGAGCUCCAUCCCCAUCCCUUUUUACUUGUUAUUUUGAGUUAGGGUUUCUUUAAAUUGCCCAGGAUGGCCUCAAACUUUUAAGGUCCUGCCUCAGCCUCCCGAGUAGCUGGAAUUACAGCGAUAUGUCACCAUGCCUGAGUUUAUAUAAUUUAAAAAUAAUGACCUUGUGUAACAGCUCAUUUCCAAAAUUUCAGAAAGUGUAAUAUUCAGCUCAUUUAAGCUGGUACAACCCAGGUCUAAUACACCACUGAUGAGUGAUAAUAGUCACCCCUUAUUAUUUUAGACCUCACCUACUCACUAAAAUUUACUUAUAACCCCAAAUCAAUGCUCUGACAGGUGAUGGUUAAUUUUAUAUCAGGCUGACUGGGCCAUAGGAUAUCUAGAUGCAUUAUUUGAUUUUUGAGUGGGAUUAACCUUUGAAUCAGUAGAGUGAGUAAGACUGAUGAUUUUUACAGUGUCAGUGAGCUUUGCUCAAUUUAUCCAAAGCCUGAACACAGCAAAUACAAUUUCGUCUCUGGCUGUCUCUGAGGUCACUGGUCAUCUUCUGCCUCUGAACUCUGAUCUGGCCUGUAGCGCCCACCCUCAAUUCUUCUGGGUCCUCAAAUACUCACACGCACAUCUUGGGACUCCUCAGCCAGAGGAUUUUGGUGCAGGUCAAUUCUGCCUUUAAAUCAAGCUCCUUCUCUCCAUCUCUCUCACAUAUAUGUAUAAAUCCCUGGAUGCUUCCAUUUCUUUGGAGUACCUGACCAAUAGCACCACUUUUACAGUCAUCCUCUGGACAUGUGCAGGUUGGUGAAAACUUUGAGUUGCACACAUGGUCAUUUCCAGUUGACCAGGGUGCCUGCUUUUGCCUUCUUGUUCCAGUUCUCAUGCUGUAAGUAACCAUCCUUUAUGCGCCCCACUUGGUGCCAUCUCCUUUGUGUUUGUUGCUGAUUUCAUUGUUUAAAAUAAAUAGCACCCAAAUCUGGGUGGGUGGUGCACUCCUGUAAUCCCAGCCCUCCAAUUCUUUCCUUUCCUUCCUUCAGCAUUAUUAUUGGCUUUUUCCAUUAUGUAGUUCAGGCUGGCCUUGAACUCACUACAUGGCCCAGCCCGGCCUUAAACUUGCAGCAGUCUUCCUGCCUCAACCUCCGAGGUGAUGUCACUGCAGGUGAGCACCACCACAUCCAGCUAAUUUUGUAAAAACCACUAACUAUCCCACAGUGGCUGCACCAUUUUGCAUUCCCAUUAGCUAUGAAUGAGAGUUUCCGGUGUCCCACAUCAUUGCCAGCAUUUGGUGUUGUUAGUAUUCUGGAUUUUGGUCACCACCCUUAAAUGUCUGGUCCUAUCCUACUGUUAUUUUCUGUCUCCUUUCCUUCCUCCUUCCUGCCUCCCUCCCUCCCGUCCUCCCUUCUCAUUUAUUGUGAUACUGGAGAUUGAACCAGGGCCUUACACAUACUUAGCACCCACCCUGUCACUGGGCUACAUUCCCAGCCCCAACCUAUGACUUUUAUUUUUGAGACAAGUCUCAUUCUGUUGCCCAGGCUGGUUCUGAACCCAGGGUCUUCUCACCUCAGCCUCCCGAGUAACUGGGAUUACAGGCACGAGCCAUCUCAGCCCAUACUCCAUCGUGGUUUUAAUCCACAUUUUUCUCAUUUAUGAUAUGCAGCUUCUUCUUGUCUUUUUCCCUCCCUUACUAGAUUGUAUGAGAGCAGGAACUUGUAUCUGUUUUCUUCGCCAUUCUAGGUUUAGUGUCUGUAACAAUUUCUUCUACCAAGUGGGCUCUCUGCAUGAGUGAAUGACUCAGCCAGGCAACUGAGCCUUUGCUAACCAAGUGGUCUUUGGCUACAUAAAUAAUUUCCAUUAUUCAUUAAGUUAAAAAUAUUAAAAACUUCAAAAUCUGGUCCUGAGUAUUGCAGCUUAGAUGUUUUGACCCAUUUCUGUGUCAGAAUGGUCUCUCACAUUUUCCAGUCCUGUGCCUUCCUCUCCUCAGUGCCUCUCCUUGUGUUUCCAGCCACUUCUUGGGCCCCAUCCUACACGCUCCUUCCCUGAGCCCUUUUCUGUGCCCAGAGCAGCGCCCGUAAGAGCAGCUGAAUGCCAAUCAGAGUCCCAAAGUAGCUGGUGACAAAGCACUUUCUCAUUUAUUUCCUCCUACUUUAUGGCAGAGGCAGUGCUGACGGCUGGCAGUGCACAUCUUGCCAGCUCGCUCCUCUUCUCUCGCCAUCUCCCCCUCCUCUCUGGGAAGGUAUUUCUGAGCACACAUUUAUUGUGCCUUGUGACAUGCCAGGCCCUAGGAAUGCCCCCGGCAGACAAGCUUCAUGCUGCUCCCACAUCUACACUUUGCUCUGCUCUGUGCUGUGGGAUGCAGUGUAUCAUCUUCUGGGCUCCACACCAGCAAUUUUUGGUUAAGGUCAGCCAAAGGACAAAGCGAGAUGAGAGCGGUAUCGUGGUAUUUACUCCCCCAGGGCAGCCUGCCCCCUACAUGACUCCCUCUUAUGGCAUCUGGUAACAGCCUAGUUUGGCAAAGCUUCCCAGGUGACCUCUGGGUGUCUUAUUUUCCCUAGUUUGAUCUUGCAAUUCAGCCUGUAACUCAAAAGUAUUCCUUUUACUAAUAAACUUAACCAUUGGAUAAUGACACGAUCUUUGUGCAGUUUUCAAAAAUUUCAGUAUUUAGGAAUGAUGCAGGUCUUGUUGCAUCAUGCAUUAACACCUUGGAGAUAAUCAAUGGUGUGGACCCCAGGCCCUACCGUGAUGCUUGGUUUAGAGGGACCCCCCAUCUAGAGGGCCAUCCCAGUAGAUCCUGGAGCAUAGCACCCUGCUUCGGUGUCUUCCCUCUUUCCAUAUUGUUGGCAGUGUUGCCACUCUUCCUGUUGAAGUGAGUAGGAGUGGUGGAAACAGGAUUAGGGGGCAGAGACCACAUUUGCCUGGGGUGAAUGCUGGGUUGAAUGCGGCAGCGGCAGUGGCUGCUGUAUGGAGGGGCCUAGGAUGAGCUGAGCUGUCCUGUGCUUGUUGGCAGAGGAGCUUCCAGUGCUAGAUUAUCUUGAGUUUACUGGAAGCGUUUAUGGCUCCACAAGAAUGUACAGUCUUGUUUUUUUUGGUACUGGCAAUUGAACUUCGGACCUUGCCCUUGCCAGGCAGGUGCUGUGCCACUGAGCUCUAUCUCGUCUCUAUUCUUCUAUUCAUGAGUGCAACUUGGAGAAAUUUUGGUGGACAAAAUUUACUAGAAUAAUUUAUGCUUGAGAUUAAAUUGCUGUUGGAAGUAGUUAGAAAAAUUUUAAGAUUGUUUUACUGGGUAUUUACCUUACUUUUAUAAUACUGGUGAUGGUGGUGGUGGGGUGUCUGGAGAUUUUUCUGUGCUGGUUUAGUAGCUUUUGAGACAUCAGAGAAAAAAGAGCAGCAUGGAAAAGACAAAGUCUCUCAACCAAGGCAGAGAAAAGGGAGAGAGGGCCUGAGGGCAUGGGCCCCAGUCCAGAGACAACAGUUUCCUGCUGUGCUUGGGUUGUUGGUCCUUGAUGCCUCUUUUGUAAUUUGGGGGAAUCAAUAGUGUGAUACAUUUAAGCUGGCAUCUCUACAAAUCACUGUUUUUCAGAAUGAAGUGCGAUAUAAAAUUAAACACUGACUUUUUCUUUGUUUUGCUACCAGGAAUUGAACUCAGGACCUUGUGUCUGCCAGGGAGGCACUGUGCUGCAACACUGAAUUUUUUAUACCCAGUUUUCAGAUAUACUUAGAGAAUAUGAGAUGCGAUUAAAGACAAUAGCGGGCAUCUAAAUUUUACAAAUGACAGUAAGACACAUGUUGCCAUUAACUACUUCAUCCUCAAAGCUCCCCUUCUGCUCACACUCCUUCAUCACUCUUGGCCGCUUUCUGAAGCAGUUCUGAAAAUCCCCAUUUGUGAAUGUAUUUAGUUGCCCUGUCAUAAUUGCUGUGAUAUCUUAGAUCAGCUCAAGAUAUUUAUCGUUCAUGGUCAUUUUGCCUUGGAGGCAGAACCUGAAGCUGCACAAUGCCAAACUCAGUGAUCAGGUGAAUGAAGAGACACGAUGCUUGCUUUUAUUUAUUUUGGCACCGAGCACUGAACUCAUAACCUUGCACUUGACACCGUAUAUUUAGAAACCUGCUU